AAUGAACGUUGGCGGCGUGGAUAAGGCGUGCAAGUCGAACGAGAACCACGCAAGGGGUGAAAGUGGCAAACGGCGUAGUAAGGCGUAGGUGACGUACCUCCCGAUUCAGGAUAGCUACGGGAAACUGUAGGUAAUACUGGAUAACCCCUCCGGAAUUGAAUACCGGAGUGCAAAGGUGUGAUUCCGUCAGGAGAGCGGCGUACGUGGUAUUAGCUAGUUGGUGAGGUAAUGGCCAACCAAGGCUUCGAUGCCUAGGGGUUGUUAGCGAAUGACCCCCGCGGCUGGGACGGAGAGACUGCCCAGACACGUACGGGGGGCUGCAGUCGAGAAUCUUCGGCAAUGGGCGGAAGCCGGACUGAGCGACGCCGCGUGUGGGAUGAAGGCCCUUGGGUUGUAAACCACUGUCAGAAGGGAUGAACUGCGGGUGGGUUCUCCCAUCCGUUUGACAUAGCCUCAGAGGAAGCACGGUCUAAGUUCGUGCCAGCAGCCGCCGCGGUAA
rnacentral:rRNA from 1 species